rnacentral:tRNA from 1 species
GUUAGGGUGGCAGAGCCCGGUAAUUGCGUAAAUCUUAAACCUUUAUAUACCAGAGGUUCAAUUCCUCUUCCUAACA